rnacentral:rRNA from 1 species
GACGAACGCUGGCGGCGUGCUUAACACAUGCAAGUCGAACGGAAAGGCCCUUCGGGGUCCUCGAGUGGCGAACGGGUGAGUAACACGUGGGUGAUCUGCCCUGCACUUUGGGAUAAGCCUGGGAAACUGGGUCUAAUACCGAAUAGGACCACGCGCUUCAUGGUGUGUGGUGGAAAGCUUUUGCGGUGUGGGAUGGGCCCGCGGCCUAUCAGCUUGUUGGUGGGGUAAUGGCCUACCAAGGCGACGACGGGUAGCCGGCCUGAGAGGGUGACCGGCCACACUGGGACUGAGAUACGGCCCAGACUCCUACGGGAGGCAGCAGUGGGGAAUAUUGCACAAUGGGCGCAAGCCUGAUGCAGCGACGCCGCGUGAGGGAUGACGGCCUUCGGGUUGUAAACCCCUUUCACCAGGGACGAAGCGUAAGUGACGGUACCUGGAGAAGAAGCACCGGCCAACUACGUG